ACCGGCGCACGGGUGCGUAACGCGUAUGCAAUCUACCUUUUACAGAGGGAUAGCCCAGAGAAAUUUGGAUUAAUACCUCAUAGUAUUAUGAAAUGGCAUCAUUUUAUAAUUAAAGUCACAACGGUAAAAGAUGAGCAUGCGUCCCAUUAGCUAGUUGGUAAGGUAACGGCUUACCAAGGCUACGAUGGGUAGGGGUCCUGAGAGGGAGAUCCCCCACACUGGUACUGAGACACGGACCAGACUCCUACGGGAGGCAGCAGUGAGGAAUAUUGGACAAUGGGCGCAAGCCUGAUCCAGCCAUGCCGCGUGCAGGAUGACGGUCCUAUGGAUUGUAAACUGCUUUUAUACGAGAAGAAACACUACUUCGUGAAGUAGCUUGACGGUAUCGUAAGAAUAAGGAUCGGCUAACUCCGUGCCAGCAGCCGCGGUAAUACGGAGGAUCCAAGCGUUAUCCGGAAUCAUUGGGUUUAAAGGGUCCGUAGGCGGUUUAAUAAGUCAGUGGUGAAAGCCCAUCGCUCAACGGUGGAACGGCCAUUGAUACUGUUAAACUUGAAUUAUUAGGAAGUAACUAGAAUAUGUAGUGUAGCGGUGAAAUGCUUAGAGAUUACAUGGAAUACCAAUUGCGAAGGCAGGUUACUACUAAUGGAUUGACGCUGAUGGACGAAAGCGUGGGUAGCGAACAGGAUUAGAUACCCUGGUAGUCCACGCCGUAAACGAUGGAUACUAGCUGUUGGAAGCAAUUUCAGUGGCUAAGCGAAAGUGAUAAGUAUCCCACCUGGGGAGUACGUUCGCAAGAAUGAAACUCAAAGGAAUUGACGGGGGCCCGCACAAGCGGUGGAGCAUGUGGUUUAAUUCGAUGAUACGCGAGGAACCUUACCAAGGCUUAAAUGUAGAUUGACCGUUUUGGAAACAGAACUUUCGCAAGACAAGUUACAAGGUGCUGCAUGGUUGUCGUCAGCUCGUGCCGUGAGGUGUCAGGUUAAGUCCUAUAACGAGCGCAACCCCUGUUGUUAGUUGCCAGCGAGUCAUGUCGGGAACUCUAACAAGACUGCCAGUGCAAACUGUGAGGAAGGUGGGGAUGACGUCAAAUCAUCACGGCCCUUACGCCUUGGGCUACACACGUGCUACAAUGGCCGGUACAGAGAGCAGCCACUGGGCGACCAGGAGCGAAUCUAUAAAACCGGUCACAGUUCGGAUCGGAGUUUGCAACUCGACUCCGUGAAGCUGGAAUCGCUAGUAAUCGGAUAUCAGCCAUGAUCCGGUGAAUACGUUCCCGGGCCUUGUA
rnacentral:rRNA from 1 species